GACGAACGCUGGCGGCGUGCCUAAUACAUGCAAGUUGAGCGCUGAAGGUUGGUACUUGUACCAACUGGAUGAGCAGCGCACGGGUGAGUAACGCGUGGGGAAUCUGCCUUUGAGCGGGGGACAACAUUUGGAAACGAAUGCUAAUACCGCAUAAAAACUUUAAACACAAGUUUUAAGUUUGAAAGAUGCAAUUGCAUCGCUCAAAGAUGAUCCCGCGUUGUAUUAGCUAGUUGGUGAGGUAAAGGCUCACCAAGGCGAUGAUACAUAGCCGACCUGAGAGGGGGAUCGGCCACAUUGGGACUGAGACACGGCCCAAACUCCUACGGGAGGCAGCAGUAGGGAAUCUUCGGCAAUAGACGAAAGUCUGACCGAGCAACGCCGCGUGAGUGAAGAAGGUUUUCGGAUCGUAAAACUCGGUUGGUAGAGAAGAACGUUGGUGAGAGUGGAAAGCUCAUCAAGUGACGGUAACUACCCAGAAAGGGACGGCUAACUACGUG
rnacentral:rRNA from 1 species